AUGCUAUUCCCUCUGUUGCACAAUACAUGCCUUCUAUUUGUCAAAAUAUAUAUGUAUCUAGACAUGUUUUAGUAUAUAGGUACAUCCAUUUUUGGACAAAUGGAAGUCAAGUAUUUUGGAACGGAGGGAGUACACA
rfam:Triticum aestivum genome assembly, contig: Triticum_aestivum_CS42_TGACv1_scaffold_580227_7BL